rnacentral:lncRNA from 1 species
CUUUUCGUGAAAAUCGCGCGUUUUGGGCCCCAAAAAAAGCCCGCGGAACACGUGGUACCUUCCCAACUUUUCGCGAAAAAUCGCGCGUUUUGGGCCCCAAAACGCGCCCCGCGAAAUGCGGGGUACCUCCCCAACUUUUCGUGAAAAUCGCGCGUUUUGGGCCCCAAAAAAAGCCCGCGGAACACGUGGUACCUUCCCAACUUUUCGCGAAAAAUCGCGCGUUUUGGGCCCCAGACAUUCCGGGCCACUUUUUU